rnacentral:lncRNA from 1 species
CUUGGUUCUAUGCAGGGUGACUGUGAAAAUGCCAUGGCUCAUGGGGGCCAAACAUGGUGGUAGGGCCCACUGUGAAAAGGGUGAGGCUGGGCUGCACAGGCUCAGCUGCCCACAAACAGCUCUGGGGGCUCUUGGGAUGGCUGAGGCUGCUCUUGAUGAGCUCAGGGAAGAAACACAACAGAGACUGGUCAAAGGAGAGGACACAGCCUUCUGCCCAAUGUCCAGGAGCCCGAGCCCAGGAAUCUCCCUUGAAACACACACUCUCACACACACUCUCACACACACACAUGCUCUCACUCACUCACACUCACACACACUCACAUGCACACACACUCACAUACACAUUGACACCACUGUCAGCUCAGAAAUCUCCCUUGAAACACACACACUCACACACAUACACAUUCACACCACCAUCAUCCCAGAAAUCUCCCUUGAAACACACACACGCACACAUUCAUGACACCAUCCCAGAAAUCUCCCUUGAAACACAUACACACUCACAUACACAUUCACGCCAUCAUCCCAGAAGUCUCCUUUGAAACACACACUUUCACACACUCACACACACACUCACACUCACAUUCACACCACCAUCAUCCAGAAAUCUCCCUUAAAACACACACACUCACACACACAUUCAUGCCACCAUCAUUCCAGAAGUCUCCCUUGAAACACACACACACACACU